ensembl:lncRNA
GCACAACUGCACAUAACAAUACAAUAAAAUUGCACAACAAAAAACAAUGCAUUGCAAAAGAAGUUAACUUCCAUACUGCUUUUGUCAAUGCAUAAGGUACAGCGAUGGAGAAAUAAUAUGCAAAAAUAUCUUUAUAGAGCACACUUGAGCUCAUUUGUCCUGGAGCAUCAUGACUGUCAGCACAGCAUUGUAGUUGCUCUUUGUUCUUCAGUGGGCUUUGUGUGCGAAUGUGUCACUCACUAAUCAUGGAGAAAAAAGGCCCAUUCCCUCACCUGAAUGGCUACAGGUCACUGUAUCAUUAUGGAAAAACAGAACAGGCACAAGCACCGCUGCUGUUUGUCUCAUGCAAAUUUGUCGUGUAGGAAAGAGGUUGGUGGAUUACGUCAGGUGAAAUCCUCAGCUGCAUCCUGAUCAAGGUAUAAAAAGUCAGUCUGAAGCACAAUAUAGCAAUACUCCUACUUUGCCUUACAGGACAGAAGUUGUACAAGUGAAGAAUGAAUAUCUCUGCUCUGUUGGUGUUUAUUUCUGCUGUCGUGUCUGUUUAUGGGUAUUAUGAACUGCCCUGCUCUGACUGCAAUCAUCCUUGUACUGCUGAUCGCUUGAAAAACGUCACAGAACAAUUAUUCGAGCACAUGAACUUUACCGACUGCAAAGAGAACGAACACUUUUCAAAAAGAGCCAAUCCUACCUGGAAGUGCGAGUAAGUGUUCUUACAAUUAAUUCAGUUAUUUUUAUGCUAGUAACCUUUCUUAUGUGUAGUAAUAUUAGAUGAGAGGCUGUUGGGUGUUGAGGACUCAAAGUACAAAGUGUUUAUAUGGAAGACCCCCCUUAUUUGCUUUUUUGGUUCAUUAUUAUUAUUUCAUUUAAUAGCUUUAUAAGGUUAUUUACUGUUAUUUUAUUUAAUGUCAUCUAAACAUGUUUAAUUAGGUAGUUUGGACACACUUAUGCAUGCAGCUGGUUCAUGUUGAUGAAAUUAAUAUGGCUCUUAUCAGCCAAACAAGAAAGAACUGUCUUUUGAGGUUGAAACUAUAUUAACAGUAUUUGUUUGUCAGUAGACAUUCCAUACUAUUUAAAGGGCUGUUUUAGAUUGAGAAUUUGAUGGUGAUAAAGGAUAUGAUGUGUGUCAAUGCUCCACAACUUAUGAGUCUUUUUUUUUUCACAGACCAUCACACCCGGUUUUCAACAGACAUCCUGAAACUGUCCAUAAUGCCAUAUGUGGAAAUUGCAAAGUUGGAUUUGAGGCAGUAUCGAUUUUGCAAAAUAUCAACAUGUUAUUCAAAAAGUCCUGCCUGAACAGAAAUAACUCUAAUAAUAACACAAUAUUAUAUGUAAAACCAGUCAAAAUCUCAUUAGGCUGUACGUGUGUAAAGAAAACUCCCUAACAAUAUGUAAAUUAUGCCUGCAUGCACUUCUGAUAAGCUCAGCAAUAUGACCAUCAUGUAUUCUUUUACUUUUUUUUAGUUGUAAAAGCCAAAUAUAAUGAAUAUCUAUAAAAAUCAGUGAUAUUGAAAAAUGCUCUUAAUGUUUUUUACAAUGCAUGUUUGUAAAAACGUUCUCAAAACCAUGUAAUAAUUUGGCUGUGUAUAUAUAAU